rnacentral:rRNA from 1 species
UACGGGGGGGGCAAGCGUUGUUCGGAAUUACUGGGCGUAAAGAGCGUGUAGGCGGCCAGGUAGGUCCGUUGUGAAAACUCGAGGCUACAACCUCCAGACGUCGACGGAAACCGUAUGGCUAGAGUCCGGAAGAGGAGACUGGAAUUCAUGGUGUAGCAGUGAAAUGCGUAGAGAUCAUGAGGAAGACCAGUGGCGAAGGCGGGUCUCUGGACAAGUUCCGUGACACUGAGGCACGAAGGCCAGGGGAGCAAACGGG